rnacentral:rRNA from 1 species
GUUGCUUCGGCGGGGAGCCCUCUCGGGGGCGAGCCGCCGGGGACUAUUGAACUUCAUGCCUGAGAGUGAUGCAGUCUGAGUCUGAAUAUAAAAUCAGU